rnacentral:misc_RNA from 1 species
GGGGGCAAGACACCCAGCACAGGCUAGCUUCAUCAUAUAUGGAAGGCCCUAAAGGAGUGAGGAAAGGUGCUUGGACUUCUGAAGAAGAUAACCUUCUCAGGAACUGGGUUGAAAGACAUGGGGGAGCCAGAUGGCAUCUAGUUCCUUCCAGGGCAGGGUUGAACAGAUGCAGGAAAAGCUGUAGAUUGAGGUGGUUGAACUAUCUUAAACCAAAUAUCAAUAGAGGGGAAUUCGCGGAGGAUGAAGUUGAUUUGAUGAUCAAACUACACAAGCUCCUUGGUAACAGAUGGUCAUUAAUUUCUGGAAGACUACCAGGAAGAACAGCGAAUGAUAUAAAGAAUUUCUGGAACACCCGCAUGCGCAAGAAUAUCACUUAUUGCGAGGAAGAUGCGAAACCGAAAACACCAAACGCAAAAAAGACCAACAUAAUAAGGCCUCAACCUUGGAAAUUCAAAAAUAUGUCAUCAACUACUGUAAAUAAUGCGCAAAUGAAGUUGUUGCCGGAACCACAUGGAUCAAACACACAUCAAAAUGUAAGAAUGGUGCAUGGUGGUGGUGUGGCGCCGGCUGACAAUAGUCUUUGCGAGCACUCUAUGGCUUUUCCACUUCCAAGAUCGUAUAAUGAAGACGUGUGUGAAAAAAUUUUAGACAAGAAAGAAAUCAACCAAUUCAAUGGCAGUGCCACAAAGCCUUUUGCAGAAGAAAACGCAACAGGGACUGAUGCAGUGGAUACUUUCUUUGAAGAAGGCCAAAUGACCAAGGGAAUGAACGAUUUCUAUGAAGAAGACUGGUGGAUUGAAUUUUCCUCGCAUAUAGACCUUUGGAAACUACUGAAUGAAGAACAAGAAACCUCGAUCGAUGAGAUGUUUUAAGCUUUACACCACCAAGGUUAAAUCAUCGAGCUUCUCCGCUUUGGCACUGCAUAUGGUGUCCCCAACAACUGGUUUCAUGGACUUUAGUCAGUGUGGCAAAAAAUAAAAUGUCUGCGUGAUGUAAACUGUAUUGAUUUUCCUUGAUUUUUGUAUUUCUUGCUAGGCUUUUUCACUUGGUAUUCAUCAUGUUGGUAAGGUAUAUUUACCACAAGCGCUUAAUCUGCUCUUGGCGCUUAAGGGUAUUAAUUUGAUUAAGGGUAAUGGAGGUUGAUUAAAGUGUGCCAUUGGCGCCAUUUGAAGAUUCAUGGCUAAGAGAGUUUUUAUCGAACAAGCUGCUAUCAUCUCUAAUCCCUAAUGUAUCAUACAACUCUCUCCGUUUUCUUUCAUUUUCAACAUCCAUUACCCUUAAUCAAUACUAUAAGAUUCACCCACUAUAACAAAAAAUCUUGGACGGUAUUGGUAUGUUUAUUAGAGUGGAAGAAGAUUGAUACUUUUCG